GAUGAACGCUGGCGGCGUGCCUAAUACAUGCAAGUCGAGCGAACGGACGAGAAGCUUGCUUCUCUGAUGUUAGCGGCGGACGGGUGAGUAACACGUGGAUAACCUACCUAUAAGACUGGGAUAACUUCGGGAAACCGGAGCUAAUACCGGAUAAUAUUUUGAACCGCAUGGUUCAAAAGUGAAAGACGGUCUUGCUGUCACUUAUAGAUGGAUCCGCGCUGCAUUAGCUAGUUGGUAAGGUAACGGCUUACCAAGGCAACGAUGCAUAGCCGACCUGAGAGAGUGAUCGGCCACACUGGAACUGAGACACGGUCCAGACUCCUACGAGAGGCAGCAGUAGGGAAUCUUCCGCAAUGGGCGAAAGCCUGACGGAGCAACGCCGCGUGAGUGAUGAAGGUCUUCGGAUCGUAAAACUCUGUUAUUAGGGAAGAACAUAUGUGUAAGUAACUGUGCACAUCUUGACGGUACCUAAUCAGAAAGCCACGGCUAACUACGUG
rnacentral:rRNA from 1 species